UGUUGUGAGGUUCCAGCACUCUCUGAAUAAAAAAUUUGAUCAGAUCAACAUUUCAUGUCAUCAAUUAAAAAUUCAAGGAAAAAAUGGACAGAAAAACACAGUUCUUUAGAAAAAAGGUUGAAGAAUACAGUAUGGAAAAUCUAGUUAAUCAAAGCAAGUUGCCUUCAAUCUGAAUCUAUAUGCUCAGAUAGAUUCUUGAUUCAAUCCCACUGACACGCAUCUUGAUGAUGUCUACUCAGUCAUAGAUACUAGUAAUGCUACUCAUAUCGUGGUGUACCCAGUCAAGCUUUUGCUUCAGAUGUUGCUUUACUAUAGCACCGCAUCCAACAUCACCUUAUUAAUGACAGCUAUAUAAUGUACCCAACAUGUGACAUGCAUCUCUAAACAUUAUUCAUUCUGGCACACAAGGUUUGGAUUUCUCUAAGCUUACCUCUUUUAAUCGGGGUAAGGUUGA
rnacentral:misc_RNA from 1 species